rnacentral:rRNA from 1 species
GAUGAACGCUGGCGGCGUGCCUAAUACAUGCAAGUCGAGCGAACAGACGAGGAGCUUGCUUCUCUGAUGUUAGCGGCGGACGGGUGAGUAACACGUGGAUAACCUACCUAUAAGACUGGGAUAACUUCGGGAAACCGGAGCUAAUACCGGAUGAUAUUUUGAACCGCAUGGUUCAAUAGUGAAAGACGGUUUUGCUGUCACUUAUAGAUGGAUCCGCGCUGCAUUAGCUAGUUGGUAAGGUAACGGCUUACCAAGGCAACGAUGCAUAGCCGACCUGAGAGGGUGAUCGGCCACACUGGAACUGAGACACGGUCCAGACUCCUACGGGAGGCAGCAGUAGGGAAUCUUCCGCAAUGGGCGAAAGCCUGACGGAGCAACGCCGCGUGAGUGAUGAAGGUCUUCGGAUCGUAAAACUCUGUUAUUAGGGAAGAACAUAUGUGUAAGUAACUAUGCACAUCUUGACGGUACCUAAUCAGAAAGCCACGGCUAACUACGUG